GAUUCAUUUGUUCUCCUGGGACGGACAACAUCGGGAAACUGAUGGGAAAACGUCUAAGUUGCAGUUAAUUGACUGUGACGUAAACCUUUGUGUGCAGGAGAGUAAGAUGCCAUCCUAUCAGUUAGUAAGUAGGGUAAGGGCCUACUUAGACGAAGACGGGUACGGGGAAUGAGGGUUUGAUUCCGGAGAGGGAGCCUGAGAGAUGGCUACCAGGACCAAGGUCAGCAGCAGGCGCGAAAAUUAUCGAAGCCCGCCUAGGGGCGAUAGUGAGGAGACGUGUAUAACGAAGUACGUGUAAAGAACGUGCUAAUAACUGGAGGUCAAGUCUGGUGCCAGCAUCCGCGGUAAUUCCAGCUCCAGGGGUGUCUAUGAUGAUUGCUGCGAUUAAAAAGUCCGUAGUCAAUCUGACUGANUGACCUGCAAUGUGAUUGAUUAAAGAACGAGCAGGGUUAGGAAAGCAGAGAAUUAGGAGCGACCGAGGGCUAGAGUAUUGAAUGGCGAGAGGUGAAAUUUGAUGACCCAUUCAGGAGUGACAAAGGCGAAGGCACUAGUCAAGGGCGAAUCCGAUGAUCAAGGACGUAGGCUAGAGUUUCGAAAACGAUUAGAGACCGGAGUAGUUCUAGCAGUAAACUAUGCCGACGCCGUGGUAUCAANAAUGGUAUUGCGGAAGAGAAAUCAAGUAAGGCUUUGGGGAGAGUACGCGCGCAAGCGAUAAAUUUAAAGG
rnacentral:rRNA from 1 species